rnacentral:lncRNA from 1 species
UAAUAAACCCUAGUUCUGAACCUGUAUUGUAUAGCAGCCUAUUGAAAAAUAAUAUGCUCAAAAGCUUCCAUAGAUACACAAUCUAAAAUCCUUGAAGCGUUUCUCCUACAAAAUCAUAAUCUAAGUAAGCAGCGGCGUAACAAGGACAAUUCACAUCUUCAGUUGCCUGAAAAACUGCAUUAAUGCUCUAGAUGGAACACAUAUUCCGUCAAGUUCUGCAGUUUACUGGGAUUCAGUUUCUGCUCAGUAACUAUAGGCUGCUUCUUCACAGU